rnacentral:tRNA from 5 species
GCCGGUGUAGCUCAGUGGUAGAGCAACCGCCUUGUAAGCGGUAGGCCGAGGGUUCGAUCCCCUCCUCCGGCU